GGGUAGGUGGCAGAACGGUCGAUUGCGGCAGUCUUGCGGAGAAGGAGAACCUUCUCCUUCGUAAAAACUGCUGAAACUAGAAUUGUAAAGGAUGUGUACCACAGUAAACAAGUCCCGUGGGUGCGAAUCCCAUCCUACCCGCCA
rnacentral:tRNA from 1 species